AACGAACGCUGGCGGCAUGCCUAACACAUGCAAGUCGAACGAGACCUUCGGGUCUAGUGGCGCACGGGUGCGUAACGCGUGGGAACCUGCCCUUAGGUUCGGAAUAACUCCCCGAAAGGGGUGCUAAUACCGGAUAAUGUCUUCGGACCAAAGAUUUAUCGCCUUUGGAUGGGCCCGCGUUGGAUUAGCUAGUUGGUAGGGUAAAAGCCUACCAAGGCGACGAUCCAUAGCUGGUCUGAGAGGAUGAUCAGCCACACUGGGACUGAGACACGGCCCAGACUCCUACGGGAGGCAGCAGUGGGGAAUAUUGGACAAUGGGCGAGAGCCUGAUCCAGCAAUGCCGCGUGAGUGAUGAAGGCCUUAGGGUUGUAAAGCUCUUUUACCCGGGAUGAUAAUGACAGUACCGGGAGAAUAAGCGCCGGCUAACUCCGUG
rnacentral:rRNA from 1 species